UGAAACAAAUGUUUGUGGAAUUAAGUAGUGAUUUCCUUUAGUCUGCGCCACUCUUACUGGCUGUGUUUUCAGGCCUAGAUGUUAACAUAUGCCACAUAUUACUUUUUUUUUUUCCUGGUGAAAUCGGGGGUUUCCAAACACUCAGCCUCAUCCUAAGUGUUCAUGUCAACUAGCAAAGGUCUGCAUUUUCUGAUAAAAUAACUCAUAAAACUUCCAUAUUAAGAGCUAAAAUGGUUUGGAAGACAAAGAAGUGCUGAGAAAUCAAGGAAUGAAAGAGGACAAAUCGUAGCAACUUGGUGAACUUGAAAAUAUAUGUAGGUGGCACCCCUUCUUUGCUGGAAGCAGAAGCUAAACCCAAAUGGAAAAUAUUUUGACUGAGCUGCAGCUUGGCAUUUUCAUGCCACUAUUUAACUCCAGCAGAAGCAUGGAAGACAUCUCUAGCUUUUACAGUACACAUUCUAAAUACCAUUUUCCACUGGAGAAAUGGCUGAUUCUGGGUGAGGAGAAAAUUUGCAAGGCAAAUGAGAAUAUCUUGUCAUUCCAGAUAACAAAGAAGAUAUAAAAGACUGCAAUGCCAAAAGGACUCAAGAGCCAAAA